rnacentral:rRNA from 2 species
CUUGCUCCGGAAGACCUAGUGGCGAACGGGUGCGUAACACGUGAGAAACCUGCCCCGAUCUCUGGGAUAACAGUUGGAAACGACUGCUAAUACCGGAUGCCGUCACACCGCUUCAUGGCGGAGUGCCGAAAGAUUUAUCGGAUCGGGAGGGUCUCGCGGCCUAUCAGCUAGUUGGAGAGGUAACGGCUCACCAAGGCAUCGACGGGUAGCUGGUCUGAGAGGAUGAUCAGCCACACUGGGACUGAGACACGGCCCAGACUCC